rnacentral:lncRNA from 14 species
CCCAUCUUCCUUCUUCAUUGUAAUAUAACCUCCUCAAUGACAGGUGGAAUACUUACGUGGUGGAUGGCCGUAAUGUGGAGACCCUAUGCCGUGUAUUCUCACAGGCAGCUCAAGUAAGAGGCAAGCCCACUGCUGUGGUUGCCAAAACCUUCAAGGCCCGAGGCAUGCCAAAUGUUGAGGAUGCAGAAAGUUGGCAUGGAAGGCCAAUGCCAAAAGAAAGAGCAGAUGCAAUUAUCAAAUUAAUUGAGAGCCAGAUACAGUCCAACAAAAUUCUUGUACCUUCACCCCCUAUUGAGAACUCACCUCAAAUUAACAUCAUGGAUAUACAUAUGGCCUCGCCCCCUGCUUAUGUAGCUGAUGACAUGGUGUCUACUCAAAGAGCAUGUGGUUUGGCUCUGGCUAAACUGGGCCAUGAAAAUGACAGAGUUAUUGUGCUGGAUAGUGACACCGAGAACUGCAACUUUUCUGACAUAUUCAAGAAAGAACACCCAGAGAGGUUCAUCCAGUGUUAUAUUGCUGAACAAAACAUGGUGAAUGUGGCUCUAGGAUGUGCCACCCGUGACCGGAUCAUUGCUUUUGCUUGCACCUUUGCUGCCUUUUUCACCCGAGCAUUUGAUCAGAUUCGAGUGGGAGCCAUCUCUCAAAUCAACAUCAACCUUAUUGGUUGUCACUGUGGG